AGAUGUGAGGGCAAUCUGGCUGUGACAUCUGUCACCCAUUGAUCGCCAGGUUUGAUUCGGCUGAUCUAGAUGGCUAGGAGGGAGUCCCCUUCCUCCCUCACCUCUGUGUCCAUCACCAAACUUCACACUAGGUGAAGAGGGUGGCCUUCCCCCAAUAGAGAUGGAUCAGUCAUUGAUGGAGAAUAUAUGAGUAGCUGCACUCCCCCACUAGAACCUCCAGGCAAGCUCUGAAGACAUUAUUCUCAAUUUUCUACUUGAAUUUUUGUUAGUUCUAA
ensembl:misc_RNA 7SK 7SK RNA